UCAUUCGUGUUUCAGUGGUAGAAUUCUUGCUUUCAGUGUGGGAGACCCAGGUUUGAUUCCUGGCCAAUGCA
rnacentral:tRNA from 1 species